GACCUAGUUAUACAACGUUGCAUACAACACUUUUUCUACGACGACGUAAUUUUAAACGAAACACAAAAAUUUUCCAAUUUAUUUUCCAACGCGCGGGAAAAUGGCGGCAAAUGUAUACUUUUUUUAUAGUAUAUCUAUGGCACCAAACAAAGUAAAGGUGCCAGUUUCCAGGUCAAAAAAAAAAAACAACAACAAUGCUUUUUUGGCGACAUUAUAGUACAGUUACACUUUGUAAACAAUGCUUUUAUAGGCCAUAGAGCGUACACUUUUUCAAAGAGUUUAAUUAUGUAUGUACUUAUAUUAGACUUUUUGGUUAUUUAAAUGCCAGAUUAAAGUAGAGGAGUAGAAAAAAAUAAUA